GAUGAACGCUGGCGGCGUGCCUAAUACAUGCAAGUCGAGCGAACAGACGAGGAGCUUGCUCCUCUGACGUUAGCGGCGGACGGGUGAGUAACACGUGGAUAACCUACCUAUAAGACUGGGAUAACUUCGGGAAACCGGAGCUAAUACCGGAUAAUAUAUUGAACCGCAUGGUUCAAUAGUGAAAGACGGUUUUGCUGUCACUUAUAGAUGGAUCCGCGCCGCAUUAGCUAGUUGGUAAGGUAACGGCUUACCAAGGCAACGAUGCGUAGCCGACCUGAGAGGGGGAUAGGCCACCAUGGAACUGAGACACGGACAAGGCGACUAAGGGAGGGCGCAGUAGGGAAUCUGACGCAAUGGGCGGAAGCCUGGCGGAACAACGCCGCGUGAGUGAUGAAGGUCUUCGGAUCGUAAAACUCUGUUAUUAGGGAAGAACAAAUGUGUAAGUAACUAUGCACGUCUUGACGGUACCUAAUCAGAAAGCCACGGCUAACUACGUG
rnacentral:rRNA from 1 species